CUACCCAGCUCCAGUGGCGGGCAGCCAGGCAUCUGGUCCCUCAGUCUCAGUCAUGCAGCUGUGACUGACAGGCAGCAGGGAGCUGAAGCUCUGAUGUGAGGAUCUGCUUUGGCUUCUAGAAAAAUAGCAGCAGCAGCAGCAGCGGCGGCGGCAGCAGCAGUGACAGCAGGCUCCAUUGAAAAGCAGCCCUGCCAGCACAGCUGAGGUUGAUGCCCCGCUGCCCAGGGACCCACACCGGAGGGUAAAACAGCAGGCCUUAAGGAAACAAACCACCAUGUUAUGAACUGCCUACAGAGAGGGCCACCUGGCAGGCAACUGUGGAUGGCCUCUAGGACCUAAGGGCAGCCUCCAUUCAACAGCCGGGAAGAAGCCAGGCCCUCAGUCAUACAGCUUCAAGAAAAUAAAUUGCGUCAACAACCCAAAUGAGCUUAGAUGAGAAUUCUUCCCCAGUCAAACCUCCAGAUGAGAACACAGCUUGACCUACCUCAUGCUAGCAACCUUGUGAGACUCUGAGCAGAGAAUCAAGCUAAACUGUGCCUGAACUCCUGAUUCAUGGAAACUGUAAGAUAACUAAUAUGUGUUGUUUUUAGCCUCUGAAUUUGUGGUAAUUUGUUACAUUGAAAUAGAAAACUAAUAGAGGUAUUAUUUUAGAUGAAAGACAUUUAUAAAAUAUUAUUAAAUUACAAAGCUCAGAUUAUAAAGGACUAUGAUGCACACACACACACACACACACACACACACAUACAUACACACAGACUGAAAAAUAGCAAUAUAGUAAAAUUUGGAAUGACUUUGAUUUCCUUCUUUUUGAUUCUCUGUACUUUCUAAAAUUACUUUUAUUAUUAAUAUUAGAAAAC
rnacentral:lncRNA from 10 species